ensembl:lncRNA
CUUCAACUAAGACUGCCUCCAAUUGUCUGUAAACUUACAGAGACUGGUACAAAUCUUGCCCCAAAGGAAGCAGAUUUGCUGUUUUAAGAGAGAAGCUGCAUUUUGAGCACAAGAGACUCAAAUGACGUUUGAAUUGAUUGGAGAAAGCAAUGAGGGAUGUCUAGAUUUGGAUUGCUCUCUUGCAGAGAGCAGAAUGCUCAUCUGCUGGGAAGAGGGACAGCCCCAUCACCCCAGACCUGGUCUGGCUGCCAUGGAGAAGUUGUUGUAGAAACUUCCUGUGACUGUGGGCUUCUCCUCAAGAGGACAUAGGCAGGAAGAAACUGUGCAUUUUCCACGUGGAAACCAGAGCUGGGAAAGGAAGCCAAUGGCAGCUGUGUGCCCUUAUCCACCCUGAGUAGAUACAGCCGAAGAGAGCAAACCAAUACUAUUAAAAGGACUGGGGAAGAGAAGGGCUCUCCUCCCACCAGCAGAAUAUUUUUCUUCCCUUUGCUUUAGUGAAGUUGCUUUUUAAUUAAGUGGUCCUCCACCUACGAAUAUUUAUGAAAAAGAAACAAAAGUGCCUGCCUCCAGGGCUGGUUUUUCAACAACAGAAGGUGAAGCAAACAGGUGCAAGUCUUGCUGGACUAUGACUUAGGGGUGGCUCAAUGCUUCUGUGAAUGCCACAAGGAAAAAAAAAGGCAUUAAGCUGAAUUUUAAAUAAAACCUUUAAUGUGGACAGAGUGACCUGAGCUCAAGCAGAUGCACCAACCAGUGCCCUUUCAGCUGAAAAAGCAGAUCCGCCCAUCAGCUCUGCCCUCCUGUACCCAGCACAGCCCACACAUUCCUCAGAAGCCCACAUUAGCUGCCAGACAUCAGAUUACUGACAUACUCCUUCGACUGUAACCUCUUGCUGUAGCCUGCCCAGAGGCACAUGGGUGGGCAUUCAUGUGAACAGAGAGAAAAGAUGAUAUGCAAUUGCAAGGGCUGCUUGAUCCUGCAGAUCGUAGGCUGAGCCAGAUAAUUCCACGGCUUUUUGCUGAGAAAAGAGAGGAGAAGGAGAUGAGAGGCGAUUUUGGUGUCAUCAAGUGCAGGAACCUCACACGUGACUUUAUCCUUAUUUAAGUCACACUCACAGGAUGGUGCUUUCUUUGAUUUACUGAGGUGGGUGAAUGCAAAAAGCCUCUUGGAGCUUCUGCUCUGCUCCGUGCACAUGUUCUGCUUGGGAUAGCAGAGAGGAGUCUUCCCUUUCCCACAGCACAUUGCUGAGUACAAACCCAAACAAACACAGCAAAGCUAACAUCCCAGCACAAGUGCUUCUCCCCUCACUGAAUGGCAUUUCCAAAGGUCACUGUCUUUAAAUAACGAGGACAGUCAUUUCCCCCUCCACCUCCUCUAGUACGUGGCAUGACCUGAGGAAUAUCUCUCAAGGGAAACUGCAGCAGAGGUGGGUCAGCAUUGUAUGGUACAAUUCAACAUUGAACUCUGUGGACAAGAGCAAAUAUGGAGCAUACUGCUCAUUCAGGAAGCAUUAGUCACCUUGAGCAGGACCCAGGUGGUGUGAUGCCGUAGGCAGAGCAAGGAGUGCUGGAUUCAACACCAUCCUGUGGCUUCUCCGUACUUCAAGUGCUGUUCUCACACUCUUUAAGUUCUCUGAAUAUCAGAUGUGGUCAGUGCUGAGAAAAGAAGUGGUCUCUGGUGUGUCUUUGUCCCUGCUGAGGUAGAGCAGGGCCGUGCUAAAGCCCAGCUUUCACCCUACUGCCAUUUCACAUCACCAUGCCACAUUUUUCUUUCUGAGCUGUGUGACUUCAUGUUGUCUUCCCAGAGCUGGCACUGAUUUCCUGGUCACAUCUUACUGUAAAGCUUCCAGCUUAGCCCCAUCCUCACCUGAUUAAUGUUGGCAGCAGAGUCCAGUCCGGGUUUUUGAUCUCCAUAUACAUUCACAUGUAUGUGUUGCACUGAACUUCCCAAGGCAUCCACUUACAAACUCUCCUGGCAGAGCAAGGAUGAGCAGCCAGGAAUGGGGAAGCCUUCAAUUCUCCGCUUCCUCCUCCUGCUCCCCCUUAUGUCAAUAACAGAAGGGAAGUGGGCCAAAGCCUGACGCUUUUUAGCGUGAAUGAGGCACUUUGAUAUUGCUGGCAAGGGAGCUGAUCGGACAAGCUCCGCUUUUCUUAAUUCUGGAACACAACAGAGCAGUAUGGUAUCACAGCCUGCCUCGGGCAAGGCCAGCUCAGAUCAAGCAGGAAACAAAAUGUUGAUGUUUCAGAGAUUUCUUAGCUCUGAGGUACUCCAACACACUGCAAUGGUUGUGCCACAGAAAUGGGAUUCAAUGCGCUCACUAUUUUCUCACACUGCCUGAACACCCAGGAGGGGUUCCCAUGAAUGCUGCCUGCAAGCAGGCAGGGGGUUGCUGAUGCCAUAAUUAUCUUGAAAUGGCUGCAUUGCUUUUUUAUUGGAUUAGCAUUAAAAGCCCAAAUAUGAGGUUUCUCUUGGAUACUUCAGUGUAAUUAGAUGCUAGAAGACAUGUAAAUGUGUAUCUGCCAGGGCAGGAUCUAACUCAAUCUGUCAUUUAUAAGCAGGCAACAGUGUCACUUUGUCGUCCCACGAUUGCAUAGCGUCACCAAGCGAGCCCGAAGUGGGGAUUUGGGGCUGCCAGCAAGUACAGGUCUAUUUUGGGUCACUUAUGACAGGAGCUGAACAGGGAAUUAAUAUGUGUCUGACAAAAAUCAUGCUUGAAAAUAUAUUUAUUGUGGCACAUUUCAUGAGCAGUACCUAUUUCUCCAUUGAAGAUGAAUGAUAGCAUUCAGCUUGCGCACUUACUCAUCCUGACAGCUAACACGAUAAACAUGUCAGCAUGCGAUUUGCCAAAUAUCUUCCUGUGGAAUUCAGGCAGGAGCUGCCAGUGGAGCUGGCUUUUGGCCACCACAUGAGAGACGUUGACCCAGACCAGCCAAACCUUAUGUUCCCUGCUGUGCUCCUGCUUUGCCCACCAUGGUUCACCCUUGACCCACGAGAAAAGCUCCAGCCGUCCUGUUUUUGCUUUACAGGAUAAUUGCA